rnacentral:rRNA from 1 species
UAGGGAAUCUUCCACAAUGGGCGCAAGCCUGAUGGAGCAACACCGCGUGAGUGAAGAAGGGUUUCGGAUCGUAAAACUCUGUUGUUAGAGAAGAACAAGGGUGAGAGUAACUGUUCACCCCUUGACAGUAUCUAACCAGAAAGCCACGGCUAACUACGUGCCAG